GAUCCGAAUCGGUCCGCCGACCUGAUCCGCAUUCUCCCGGCCGGUGAAGAUUCCGCCGAUAUAGGCAACGGUCCGGUCAACGACGAACCAGGUCUCCUUGACGCCCAGCCANNNNNNNCCGGAUUCACUGGUUUGGUGACGGUGUCGCCGGGGCCCGUUGCGCGGGUAAUUCCGAGGAUUCCGACCCGGUGGACGUUGCCGAAGGUAUCCUUGA
rnacentral:misc_RNA from 1 species